UGAGUAACCUGCCCUUAACUCUGGGAUAAGCCUGGGAAACUGGGUCUAAUACCGGAUAUGACUCCUCAUCGCAUGGGUGGGGGGUGGAAAGCUUUAUUGUGGUUUUGGAUGGACUCGCGGCCUAUCAGCUUGUUGGUGAGGUAAUGGCUCACCAAGGCGACGACGGGUAGCCGGCCUGAGAGGGCGACCGGCCACACUGGGACUGAGACACGGCCCAGACUCCUACGGGAGCAG
rnacentral:rRNA from 1 species